rnacentral:rRNA from 1 species
UACGUAGGGGGCAAGCGUUGUCCGGAAUCAUUGGGCGUAAAGAGCGUGUAGGCGGCUCGAUAAGUCCGCUCUGAAAGCCCGGGGCUCAACCCCGGGAGGCGGGCGGAAACUGUCGGGCUAGAGUCCGGAAGAGGCGAGUGGAAUUCCCGGUGUAGCGGUGAAAUGCGCAGAUAUCGGGAGGAACACCAAUGGCGAAGGCAGCUCGCUGGGACGUGACUGACGCUGAGACGCGAAAGCGUGGGGAGCAAACAGGG